rnacentral:rRNA from 1 species
AGCAGCCGCGGUAAUUCCAGCUCCAAUAGCGUAUAUUAAAGUUGUUGCAGUUAAAAAGCUCGUAGUUGAAUUUCGGGGUCAGUAGGUCGGUCGUGCCACUGGUAUGAACUGGUUUUACUGAUUCCUCCCUCUUGAAGAACUGUAAUGCCAUUAAUUUGGUGUUGCAGGGAAUCAGGACUGUUACUUUGAAAAAAUUAGAGUGUUUAAAGCAGGCUUUAGCUUGAAUACAUUGGCACGGAAUAAUGAAAUAGGACGUUUGAUCCUAUUUUGUUGGUUUCUAGGAUUGACGUAAUGAUUAAUAGGGAUAGUUGGGGGCAUUAGUAUUCAAUUGUCAGAGGUGAAAUUCUUGGAUUUAUUGAAGACUAACUACUGCGAAAGCAUUUGCCAAGGAUGUUUUCAUUAAUCAAGAACGAAAGUUAGGGGAUCGAAGACGAUCAGAUACCGUCGUAG